rnacentral:rRNA from 1 species
GACGAACGCUGGCGGCGUGCUUAACACAUGCAAGUCGAACGCUGAAGACCUGGCUUUUGUUGGGUUGGAUGAGUGGCGAACGGGUGAGUAACACGUGAGUAACCUGCCCUCUUCUUUGGGAUAACGCCCGGAAACGGGUGCUAAUACUGGAUAUUCACUGGCCUUCGCAUGGGGGUUGGUGGAAAGGUUUGUUCUGGUGGGGGAUGGGCUCGCGGCCUAUCAGCUUGUUGGUGGGGUGAUGGCCUACCAAGGCUUUGACGGGUAGCCGGCCUGAGAGGGUGACCCGUUAACUUGGGACUGAGGUACGGCCCAGACUUCUACGGGAGGCAGGAGUGGGGAAUAUUGCACAAUGGGCGAAAGCCUGAUGCAGGGACGGCGCGUGAGGGAUGGAGGCCUUUGGGUUUUAAACCUCUUUCGCCCAUGGUCAAGCCGCAACUGUGGGUUGUGGUGAGGGUAGUGGGUAAAGAAGCGCCGGCUAACUACGUG